rnacentral:rRNA from 1 species
UCGGGAAUAUUGGACAAUGGGGGCAACCCUGAUCCAGCCAUGCCGCGUGAGUGAAGAAGGCCUUCGGGUUGUAAAACUCUUUCAGGAGGGAAGAUGAUGACGGUACCUCCAGAAGAAGCUCCGGCUAACUUCGUGCCAGCAGCCGCGGUAAUACGAAGGGGGCGAGCGUUGUUCGGAAUCACUGGGCUUAAAGGGUGCGUAGGCGGCUGUCCAAGUCAGGAGUGAAAGCCCGGGGCUCAACCCCGGAAUUGCUCUUGAAACUGGAUAGCUAGAGUCCGGGAGAGGAUAGCGGAACUCCGAGUGUAGAGGUGAAAUUCGCAGAUAUUCGGAAGAACACCAGUGGCGAAGGCGGCUAUCUGGACCGGCACUGACGCUGAGGCACGAAAGCGUGGGGAUCAAACA